rnacentral:lncRNA from 1 species
ACACUCGUAGCUCACCUUCUCACUUCCCGAACUCCAGGCUGAAACCCUAAAGAACUCACUGAAACCCUACGCACACUUUUUCUUUCUUUUCUUUCUUUUUCUCUCGGAAGGAUAUAGACCUUCACCUUGCACACAAGGAUUACUCACGUCCAGAUUUUCUCUCCAAAUUUUUUCUUUCACACGUCCCACUCUUCUCCUCCUUUUAAAACAACAACCAAGGUCUUAUCCACGUGAGAGGAUAAAGAUGAGUAAUUGCACAUUUGAAUUCAAAUCAAAUUUUGAAUUCAAAUGGAAACUAAUUUAUCCCUAUCCACUAAGGGUGUGAGAAG